GAAAUCUGGUAGCUUGGACAGUAAUAAAUAAAAAAUGCAAUAUUUGUUGAACCAGGUGUAUACCAUGUUCUUGGGAUCGGUGGUAUGUUCCUUUGGGGAGACAAACAAAAAAACUAUAUAAUUGGUCGAGCCAGGUGUAUACCAUGUUCUCGGGAUCGGUGGUAUGUUCCUUUGGUGAGACUGAUAAAAUAUUAUCAUUGCUUCCUUCAAAUUCAAUAAGUGGUUCUACCACAAUGUUGUGUUCCUAGUAAUAGGUGUCUCUCGGGAUCAUGCUCUCUUUAGGAACCUUUUGGCACAAUCCGCAUUUAAACUGGUUGAUCUUCUUUUAUCAUUGUAGAAGUUUAAAAUGAUUGAUUCUACUAGUAUCCUACUGCUUUGUAACACUCUUAACCAUUGAUUUUCACUGCUAAGUCAAAAGAAUGCAUUGUUUGGAGAUCUACUUCACUUGGACAUUCUCUAGUCAGCUCACUAUUCACCAUCUAGCUAUUGCCCUUAUGCCUUUUCUUGAGGACAAGUAAAGAUUUAAGUGUGGGGGAACUUGAUAAGCACGUUUCUUAUAUAUAAUUUUGGCAUACAAAUAUACCAUUGUUGAGAUCUAACCAUUAAUCUUGCUAUGAACUGUUGCAUAUUUGGAUAAAAAUCAUAUAAAGAACCAUUUACUAGUCAUUUGUUUCUUUUGCAGAAAAGUGCGAGAAGGCACUAUAAACUUCAAGAUCCGGACUAAAGUAGCUAAGAGAACGAAGAAGAGGAGGAAGAAUGGACUUGUGUGAGAAGAAACGAAGUAACCAGGGGGCCAACUAUGGAAGAGAAGAUCAUCUUGUGCUAAAAGUAAAGGAGGAGGGCCAUAUUGCAAAAGGUGCAGAUCAGAGGAGGGGAAUCGAAAUCCCUAGCAGCAGCCCGAUCCCCUUUUGAGCCUGGCAUCUCCAUCUCUCUCCCCCUCACCACUUCUUCCAUCUCCGGCCGCGGCGGUGGCCAGGCCCGCGUGGCGGCACGCCAACCACCCACCGCCACCAUCCAUCACCACUACUCCCCGCUUCACCGCGCCAUCAUCACCACUGAACACCACCGCGCCUCCACCUUCACUGCGCCAUCCAUCCACCAUCACCAGCGCCACAUUGCGCGACCCACCAGACAGCCUUGCUGCACCUCCGUGCGAGAGUGCCCCUGCUGCCGUCCUUCGUCCUUCGCCUGCUGAUACUCUUCUUUCCCCACGCCUCUGCUCCUCCUCCUUUCAACACUACUGCUGCUCCUCUACUUAAAACUGCUGCUGCUCCCUCUCCCACGUCCCUGCUGCUGCACUCCUUCUCUGAACCUCUCUCUUGCAGCUUGUUGCUGCUCCUCUAUCCAUCCCCACGCUGCUGCCUCUUCUUCUCCCAUGAAACUCCUCCUCCUCCUCUCUCUCUAAGCCACCUUCUGUUGCACCUGCUCUCCAACGCCCCUGAUGCCCAGUUGCUCCUCUUUCCCUUUCCUUUCUGCUGCUAAUCUGAACCCACUACUUCUCUGAUCCCACCUGCUGUUAUUUCUAUGAACUUGAGAGUUGUAAGACUUUGAAAUGUCCAGAUUUGAACUAGUAUUGGUACGCUAGAUAUAUGUAUGUUUAGUCCAGAGACAUGGUGUUCUUGCUUAUUUUGUAGCUUAGUGUGAACUAGUACUAUUGACACUAUUCGUUUGUGUUGAAAUUAGUUAAAUUCAUCACUGUGUAUUGCUUGCCGUAGAACCUUGUUUCAUUUUGUAGUCUCUAUGUUAGUUAUCUACCAGUGGUAUAUGUGUUGUGAUAUGAAGUAUUUCCAUUAUGUCCCAUAAUCAUGUUUCCUCAAUCUUUUUCAUGUGAG
rnacentral:rRNA from 1 species